rnacentral:rRNA from 1 species
GACGAACGCUGGCGGCGUGCCUAACACAUGCAAGUCGAGCGAGUGAAUCUCCUUCGGGAGUGAAGCUAGCGGCGGACGGGUGAGUAACACGUGGGCAACCUGCCUCAUAGAGGGGAAUAGCCUUUCGAAAGGAAGAUUAAUACCGCAUAAGAUUGUAGCUUCGCAUGAAGUAGCAAUUAGAGGAGCAAUCCGCUAUGAGAUGGGCCCGCGGCGCAUUAGCUAGUUGGUGAGGUAACGGCUCACCAAGGCGACGAUGCGUAGCCGACCUGAGAGGGUGAUCGGACACAUUGGGACUAAGACACGGCCCAGACUCCUACGGGAGGCAGCAGUGGGGAAUAUUGCACAAUGGGGGAAACCCUGAUGCAGCAACGCCGCGUGAGUGAUGACGGCCUUCGGGUUGUAAAGCUCUGUCUUCAGGGACGAUAAUGACGGUACCUGAGGAGGAAGCCACGGCUAACUACGUGCCAUCCGCCGCGGUAA